AGGGAACUCAUUUUGUUACAUAAACCAGCAUCAGGAUCAGCAUAAGUAGGAUCAGGAUAGAGCUAGCAUCAGCAUCAGCAUUUAAAAAAACAGCAUUACUUGGAUCAGCAUCAGCAAGCAAAGGAUAGAACUAGCAUUGACCUAUUUUAAAACCAGCAUUGACCUACUUAAAAUCAGGAUUAUCCUGGUUUACUAAAACUACAGAUUUGAUUUUCACAAAACGAAACCGCAAAAUAGACAUUCCUAUUUCAGUCGGAAAUAAAUACAAAGAAUGUAUUUCUUGCAGACAAAUUGGCCAAUAUAAUCCUAAGAUUAUUAUUAAAUUAAUUCAAUAGCAAUAACCCCGUGAUAUUUUCAAAUCUGAAUCAGCUGAUCACCAAACGGAAACGCUAUGGAGUCUACUGCACUGGUGAGGCCACGCCACGGAUUGCUGAUUGAGAUCGGUGAUAAAGGGAAAUGGAGUGCUAUGAACAGUCCACAGUUUUGUUGCUUCAUCACUGCACAUAAGAAUCUAGAUCUAAUUCAUUCAUAUGAAGACGCCAACACGUUCCGGUGAAGGGCUGCAUAUUUUAACCUGUACUCAGCACUAAACCUUUGAAAAGUGAGAGAUCUUUUUCGUACCAACACCUACAUGAACUGCGACAAUGGAACUCGGUUUAUAUGGUUUCAUUCAAAGGACCGGACAAUCUACAUGCAGUGAUGUCGGAGACUGAUGAUUCAAACAAAAUUCUGCUUUUUGAAAAAGACAAGUGUUCUUCAUUCCUAAAAGUAGAGGACAGGGACAGUAGAGGACAUGAACAGUAUGAUGUAAUGGUGGAUUUAUAACUUGCAAUAAAAAAAAUUCUAGAAAGUGAAUUUGUUGAAAGAAACUACUGGUGAUAAAGAAAAAAAACUUCAUUUGUUCAUGUGAACACCAUGAUUCUAUUUAUUUAUUUAUUUAUUUGACUUUAUUGACAUAAUAUAAUACAAGUGAAAAAGAGUGAAUAUGGGACAUGAAUUGUAAAACUAUUAAUCUAAUAAUUCCAUGAUUACACUAUUUCAUAAAAUUCUAAAAGAUGUUAUGGGACACUUUGUAAUUUCAUUUAUAUUAUAAUUUCAUUGGUUAACUUGGCAUUGACUAUAAAUAAAUUGUAAUUUUUA